rnacentral:rRNA from 1 species
GCAAGUCGAGCGGUAGAGAGGUGCUUGCACCUCUUGAGAGCGGCGGACGGGUGAGUAAAGCCUAGGAAUCUGCCUGGUAGUGGGGGAUAACGCUCGGAAACGGACGCUAAUACCGCAUACGUCCUACGGGAGAAAGCAGGGGACCUUCGGGCCUUGCGCUAUCAGAUGAGCCUAGGUCGGAUUAGCUAGUUGGUGAGGUAAUGGCUCACCAAGGCGACGAUCCGUAACUGGUCUGAGAGGAUGAUCAGUCACACUGGAACUGAGACACGGUCCAGACUCCUACGGGAGGCAGCAGUGGGGAAUAUUGGACAAUGGGCGAAAGCCUGAUCCAGCCAUGCCGCGUGUGUGAAGAAGGUCUUCGGAUUGUAAAGCACUUUAAGUUGGGAGGAAGGGCAUUAACCUAAUACGUUAGUGUUUUGACGUUACCGACAGAAUAAGCACCGGCUAACUCUGUGCCAGCAGCCGCGGUAAUACAGAGGGUGCAAGCGUUAAUCGGAAUUACUGGGCGUAAAGCGCGCGUAGGUGGUUCGUUAAGUUGGAUGUGAAAUCCCCGGGCUCAACCUGGGAACUGCAUUCAAAACUGUCGAGCUAGAGUAUGGU